AUACGAGUGCGGGUCUUUGGGCCACCUCCCAUCCGUGUCUAUUGUACCCUGUUGCUUCGGCGGGCCCGCCGCUUGUCGGCCGCCGGGGGGGCGCCUCUGCCCCCCGGGCCCGUGCCCGCCGGAGACCCCAACACGAACACUGUCUGAAAGCGUGCAGUCUGAGUUGAUUGAAUGCAAUCAGUUAAAACUUUCAACAAUGGAUCUCUUGGUUCCGGCAUCGAUGAAGAACGCAGCGAAAUGCGAUAACUAAUGUGAAUUGCAGAAUUCAGUGAAUCAUCGAGUCUUUGAACGCACAUUGCGCCCCCUGGUAUUCCGGGGGGCAUGCCUGUCCGAGCGUCAUUGCUGCCCUCAAGCCCGGCUUGUGUGUUGGGUCGCCGUCCCCCUCUCCGGGGGGACGGGCCCGAAAGGCAGCGGCGGCACCGCGUCCGAUCCUCGAGCGUAUGGGGCUUUGUCACAUGCUCUGUAGGAUUGGCCGGCGCCUGCCGACGUUUUCCAACCAUUCUUUCCAGGUUGACCUCGGAUCAGGUAGGGAUACCCGCUGAACUUAAGCAUAUC
rnacentral:rRNA from 1 species